UAACAAGGCAUAUCAAUAAGCGGAGGAGCAUAUCAAUAACGGAGGAGCAUAUCGGUAACGGAGGAGCAUAUCUCAUAACGGAGGAGCAUU
rnacentral:rRNA from 1 species